GAAUGCUCCAGAUGACAGCUGACCGCUGUUUAUAUCGUAUUUCGUUGCUAAAGAAAUGACGUACGAUCCGCUCCCCUUUCCCGCAAUUAGAUCUGCGCCGGAAGUUUAUUGUGCUAAGCGAUCUCGAUGCAGUAAAAACAAUGCAAGAUCCGCGGGAAUUGGAGUUAUGUCAGUUGGAAGAUCAUAUGACUGUUUAAAAUGUCGGAAUAACAUAAAUAGUAGAUUACUUACAAGAGGCUGGGAUUGACCAUUCUUUUCAACGGUAAACACCAAACCAGAAAGUCCAUAGAAUUUCCCUUCCACAUAUAAUUGUCUCAGCACUGUGAAGUCCAGUGGCAGGAUAUGAAGGAAAGCUUUAGGCGACCGCAAAUAGUCCAGGACAAAAUCAAAAUAACGGGGAUUCCUGUCAAUGAAAUAGGUGUUGUUGGAUGGUUGGAAAGGGUCAGGUUUCCCAAGUACUAGAUCAAUAGGGAGUGCAACUUGUCGACCAAAGACCAUCUCAUUUGGGCUCACCCCUGUGGAUUCAUGUACCGAGGAUCUACACGCCAACAUGAGUAAAGGAUGUUGAGAAGUAGAUGUCAAAGCAGUGUUGUGAUUCCCCAAUCGGGUGACAACCUGGCAUGAUUCAGAUUAAUGGGUCACUGAUGCCUGUUUGGGAGAAAAUAAAACAUGGUCAUCUAUGGAUAAUCUGGGUGAUCCCAUACAAGAUCUGCGAUUAAAAACAAUUUCUCCAGAUUCCUCAAAGUUGCUGUUAUUUUGGGACAUUUUUCUUUGAAAUAAUUCUUUUACAAAAAAAAUUUUUAAAUUGGGUCAAAAAAAAUUUAAUAAAUAUUAAA